rnacentral:rRNA from 1 species
AAGCUCGUAGUUGAACCUUGGGCCUGGCUGGCCGGUCCGCCUCACCGCGUGUACUGGUCCGGCCGGGCCUUUCCCUCUGUGGAACCUCAUGCCCUUCACUGGGUGUGGCGGGGAAACAGGACUUUUACUUUGAAAAAAUUAGAGUGCUCCAGGCAGGCCUAUGCUCGAAUACAUUAGCAUGGAAUAAUAAAAUAGGACGUGUGGUUCUAUUUUGUUGGUUUCUAGGACCGCCGUAAUGAUUAAUAGGGACAGUCGGGGGCAUCAGUAUUCAAUUGUCAGAGGUGAAAUUCUUGGAUUUAUUGAAGACUAACUACUGCGAAAGCAUUUGCCAAGGAUGUUUUCAUUAAUCAGGAACGAAAGUUAGGGGAUCGAAGACGAUCAGAUACCGUCGUAGUCUUAACCAUAAACUAUGCCGACUAGGGAUCGGACGAUGUUAUUUUUUGACGCGUUCGGCACC